AGUCAGGGAUGGUGGUUCCAUAGGAUUAAAUCACCUAGUGACAUCGUAGCUCUGAUGUUCACACAAUGACAAAUCGGCUGGCAAUGCAGGUCUCAGAUCGGAUCCCCAUGGUUACACAGUGCAUCCUGGUAGUUUACGUGUGACAUGAUCCCAGGAAACACCAGCAGUGGGGAGGAAGGGAGAGCAGCCAAUCAGAGCGCCUGAUGGAAGCGUCCCCUGCAGGACCUCCAAGAGCCAGGGAGUGAUGACCAUCCCACCGCCCAUCAGCUUGGCAUCGAGAACAGCUACCUGGGUGGUGACAGUGCCUGGAUACUCUGCCAUGCCACGCUGAAAGGGUGAGCCCCACGGAUGUCAUCAAACCAGCGGAUUAGAAAUGCAAACCUAUGCUUUCAACUCUUCUUUCUAAAAGGCCCAGGGCUCCACCAGAAAGCACUACUGGCAUCAAGGAGAGCAUCAUCUCCAGACUGCAGCAGAGAUAAAACAAUCUCACAGGAGGAUUUCAAAGGGGUGACAACCAUCUGCUGCCUCCCCAGGUGAAUGAGCCAGCAGCCUGGGCAGCAUACACAAUGAGAGCUUUUCUUUAAUAAAUAGGAGGUUUCAACAUA